UACGGAGGGUGCAAGCGUUACUCGGAAUCACUGGGCCUAAAGAGCGCGUAGGCGGGAUAGCAAGUCAGAUGUGAAAUCCUAUGGCUUAACCAUAGAACUGCAUUUGAAACUGUUAUUCUAGAGUAUGGGAGAGGUAGGUGGAAUUCUUGGUGUAGGGGUAAAAUCCGUAGAGAUCAAGAGGAAUACUCAUUGCGAAGGCGACCUGCUAGAACAUAACUGACGCUGAUGCGCGAAAGCGUGGGGAGCAAACAGG
rnacentral:rRNA from 1 species